rnacentral:rRNA from 1 species
AGAGUUUGAUCCUGGCUCAGAACGAACGCUGGCGGCAUGGCUAAAACAUGCAAGUCGCACGCGAAAGUUCCCUUCGGGGAACCGGUAGAGUGGCGAAAGGGCGAGUAAUGCAUGUGUAACGUACCCCGAGCACGAGGAUAGUCAGUCGAAAGGCUGAGUAAUACUCGAUGAGACCACAGUAUCGUAUGGUACAGCGGUCAAAGGGUGGGGACUCCUUCGGGAGCCUACCGGCUUAGGAGCGGCCCAUGUCCUAUCAGCUUGUUGGUGAGGUAACGGCUCACCAAGGCAUCGACGGGUAGCGGGACUGAGAGGUUGAUCCGCCGCAUUGGGACUGAGACACUGCCCAGACUCCUACGGGAGGCUGCAGUAACGAAUAUUGGGCAAUGGGCGCAAGCCUGACCCAGCAAUGCCGCGUGUGGGAAUAAGCUCUUCGGAGUGUAAACCACUGUCAGGGACUACCAAGCAAUAGGGGUUAAUAGCUCCUUGCGUUGAGGAAUCCCAAAGGAAGCCACGGCUAACUUCGUGCCAGCAGCCGCGGUAAGACGAAGGUGGCUAGCGUUGUUCGGAAUCACUGGGCUUAAAGAGCACGUAGGCGGCCCAUCAAGCGUCUUGUGAAAUCCCCCGGCUCAACCGGGGAAUUGCUUGGCGAACUGAUGGACUUGAGGCAGGUAGGGGCGAGUGGAACUUUUGGUGGAGCGGUGGAAUGCGUAGAUAUCAAGAGGAACGCCAGAGGCGAAGGCGACUCGCUGGGCCUGUCCUGACGCUGAGGUGCGAAAGCUAGGGGAGCGAACGGGAUUAGAUACCCCGGUAGUCCUAGCCCUAAACGAUGUCCACUAGGCCAAUGUUUCUUCUGACGAAUUGUUGGCCGAAGAGAAAUUGAUAAGUGGACCGCCUGGGGAGUACGGUCGCAAGGCUAAAACUCAAAGGAAUUGACGGGGGCUCACACAAGCGGUGGAGCAUGUUGCUUAAUUCGAUCAACGCGAAGAACCUUAUCCUGGGCUUGACAUGUUAGAAUGCCUACUGGGAAACCAGGUCGGCUGCCCUUCGGGGUGAAACUUUCACAGGUGCUGCAUGGCUGUCGUCAGCUCGUGUCGUGAGAUGUUGGGUUAAGUCCCGUAACGAGCGAAACCCUUGUCGUUAGUUGCCAGCGCGUCAUGGCGGGGACUCUAACGAGACUGCCGGUGUCAAACCGGAGGAAGGUGGGGAUGACGUCAAGUCCUCAUGGCCUUUAUGCCCAGGGCCGCAAACGUGCUACAAUGGCUGGUACAAACCGACGCAAGACCGCGAGGUGGAGCAAAUCGGAAAAAGCCAGCCCCAGUUCGGAUUGCAGUCUGCAACUCGACUGCAUGAAGUCGGAAUCGCUAGUAAUCGCAGAUCAUCUAUGCUGCGGUGAAUAUGUUCCUGAGCCUUGUACACACCGCCCGUCAAGUCAUGGAAGCCGGUAGCACCCGAAGUCGGUCCAGUACAGGGCUGCCGAAGGUGAGAUUGGUGACUGGGACUAAGUCGUAACAAGGUA